rnacentral:rRNA from 1 species
AUUGAACGCUGGCGGCAGGCUUAACACAUGCAAGUCGAGCGGAGCGGCCGACGCGUGCGUAAUGCUUAUGAAUCUGCCUGGUAGUGGGGGAUAACGUCCGGUAACGGGCGCUAAUACUGCAUACUAUUAGAUGAGCCUAGGCCGGAUUAGCUAGUUGGUGGGGUAAAGGCCUACCAAGGCGACGAUCCGUAACUGGUCUGAGAGGAUGAUCAGUCACACUGGAACUGAGACACGGUCCAGACUCCUACGGGAGGCAGCAGUGGGGAAUAUUGGUCAAUGGGCGAAAGCCUGAGCAAGCCAUGCCGCGUGUGUGAAGAAGGUCUUCGGAUUGUAAAGCACUUUAGGUUGGGAGGCGUUACCAACAGAAUAAGCACCGGCUAACUUCGUGCCAGCAGCCGCGGUAAUUC